GGAGACGUGGGUGAGUUGGCUUAAACCAGGCCCUUGCUAAGGGUCCGUACCCUAACAGGUACCCAGCGUUCGAAUCGCUGCGUCUCCGCCA
rnacentral:tRNA from 1 species